UUAAUGCUUUUAUUAAAACCAAAACAGAAAUCAGGACAAGGACAUCUCCUCUGCCAUUUCCUUUUGGAAAAAAAUUAUUAUCCUUUAAAUUGCUUCUAGAAGGCCUGACUGAACAGGGAGUUCAGUUGAAGUCCAUAAUAUUUAGAAGAUAAUUUGCUACUCAGUCUGGACCCUCAUAGUGAAUUACGUCUGCCUAUCAACUUUGCAAUUACAGACCCACAAUUUUAUCAACCCACCUAUGAAUGAAUGUACUCUCAAGAGAGAGAGAUUACAAGCAAGGGAGAGAAGCAGAGAGAGAGAGAGAGA